AAUAUACUCACUCCAUCCGGAAAUAUUUGUCGGAGGAAUGGAUGUAUCUAGACGUAUUUUAAUUUUAGAUACAUCCAUUUUUAUGCAUUUCUCCGACGAGUAUUUCCGGACGGAGGGAGUAUUUG
rnacentral:pre_miRNA from 1 species